GCUGGUGCUGGGAGUAGGGCGCAAGAUGUCGGCGGAUGCAGCUCCGAGGAGGUAGGCAGUGGGAGCCGGCGUUCAGUCCGGCCCGUGCCAACAGUGGUUCCUCUCUCCCCCGUAGUUCGAGGAGACCACGCGCUGCCCCUCUGGCACGAUCGUGGAUGAACCCCCUGGCAACUGAAAUGGGAAAGGCAGCGCCCCCGACUCUGGGGACUGGACCGAAGUCCACGGUAGUGACAGCUGCCAGACCCUGAGGAGAGGACGAGAAGACCCGAGGCCUCUGCUACGAACACUGGCAGCCGAUGGAAAAUUCAGACGGAUUUGGGACAGUAUGCAGAGUUCUCCAAGCGACAGAUUAACAGAGGCUCUUGAAGAAUAACUGCGUAAUCACGUGUUCUGCUCAAAAGAAGGCCUGAAUGCCCAGUGCCUUAUUUGGCUUUCAGGGUUGGUGAAAGAAAAAGCAAAGUAGAUGCUUUCUAAUGCUAAGUCAUUUAAUGUAGCACCAUUCCUUGAACUUCUUUCAUCUCUAAGGUCGUCCCUUUCACCUGAUGAUGACCUUUGGGCCAUCGUACAGGGUCUUGCGGUGUCACCCAGGCUAGAGUACAGUGGUGCAAUCAUAGCUCACUGCUGCCUCAAACUCCUAGACUCAAGCAAUCCUCCUGCUUCAGCCUCCCGAGUAGCUGGGACUACAGGUAGAUGAUGGGCUCCACGGGAACAGAGCAAACGUUCGCUCCUGCUCCUACACGGUGUUUCCUCUAAACCUGAGGCUCAGCCGACUUGUCAUCACUUAAAACCCAAUUCAGAGCGGGGGGGCACUGCCAGUGAAUAGUUCAUCACCGACUCAGUUUCCCCAUGUGUAUGCUGUGGUAUUGGAUCAGCAACGAGAUAAGAAGAUCUCUCCCAUUUCCAAGCGUCUAUGAUGAUUCUGAGGCACAAGGUCACAUUUGACAGUACUAGGAAACCCAGGAAACAAGAAGCAAAGAUGACAAAGGCUGUGUCUGCCUGGGCAGACGAUCUAUUUGGACAAGAUAAUAGACCCAGGCAUGGACAUGCUCUCCAAGAAAGAUGCCCUGACAGCUGCUCACACUGAAGCUGAAUCGAACAUUCCAAUCCUUAGAGGUUCCAGCGAAGAUCUUGAAGUCUCCCUGAGCCAUUGACACAAUGGCCAUGCCAUCCCAGUGAUAAAACACAAAUUGUGGCCUUGUUUUGGACAGAAAUAAAGAGCCCAGUUUGUUAGUGA
rnacentral:lncRNA from 1 species